rnacentral:rRNA from 1 species
AUGAUCCAACUUUGGCAAGUUCCGGCUAGGACAAUCUUACGGAUUUCAGCUCUAGCCGACCCCAACUUGUUUGGGACUACAGGUUUUGUUGUUGUUCCCAACUUAGGUUUUCGGUUUAUAAACUGUGUACACUGUGAUUCUCGCAAAAAAAAAACUGUGUACAUUGUGAUUCCUCUCCUUGCACACAUUCUUACUUUGUUAAUAAGAUCAUUUUCAUUAGGGCCCUUCACCAUUAUUUCUAGUCAAACCAAAAAACUUGACGUGCAUAUUGAUUGUACAAACUUAUUAGAAUUCAUGCUGAGCAGAGACUGGAAUUUGAUGAGAUGA